rnacentral:rRNA from 1 species
CUACGUAGGGUGCGAGCGUUGUUCGGAAUUACUGGGCGUAAAGAGCUCGUAGGUGGUUUGUCGCGUCGUCUGUGAAAUUCCGGGGCUUAACUCCGGGCGUGCAGGCGAUACGGGCAUAACUUGAGUACUGUAGGGGAGACUGGAAUUCCUGGUGUAGCGGUGAAAUGCGCAGAUAUCAGGAGGAACACCGGUGGCGAAGGCGGGUCUCUGGGCAGUAACGGACGCUGAGGAGCGUAAGCAUGGGUAGCGAACAGGAUUAGAUACCCUGGUAGUCCAUGCCGUAAACGGUGGGCGCUAGGUGUAGGGGUCUUCCACGACUUCUGUGCCGUAGCUAACGCAUUAAGCGCCCCGCCUGGGGAGUACGGCCGCAAGGCUAAAACUCAAAGGAAUUGACGGGG